CCCCAGACUCUGUGCAGCAGCCCCCCCCUCUUUUUUUUUUGCAUGCGUGCUCUUGGUUGCAUCCUGACCUCUACCUCAGGCUGACCCUUUGGAGGGGCAUGGGGGGGGGGAAGAGAAGAGAGGAAGGGCGGGAGAUGGGAGACUUCUGCAGACACAGCCAUUAUGCAUCAAGGUGUGCGGCAAGCUGAGCAUGGAAGGUUGCCUCUCCUUAACUCCUGCUUCCACCUUCUAUUCUGCCUGUGCUCUUCAGUGCUCUCUCUCUCUCUAGCGCUGUGUCUUAGCCUUAGCUAGAUUGGCUCUAAGGAGAAGGCUGACGGCUGCAGCAUGAAGCGCAUUAUUACCUUGUGAUUCCAUGACCCUCCUCUAUGCAUCCCUAACUCUCGAAAGCUGAUUCAGCUUUCAGCUAGUGCUCUGGUGACUCCACUGCUGCAACAGAAUCUUCUAACUGGUAUGUUACAGGCAUCUUCAGCUGUCAUGGAGUUCAACUGGAUGACAUUUAAAAAUUUUUUUUAAAGCCAACCCCCAAGCCCCAAAAGGCAUGUCAUUUCUUUCCGGGGUUUCGUAUCUGCAAGGUAGUGUUUCCCUUACAAUGACCUGCAAAGGAAAAAUCUCUGGAGUCUCUAGGCUGCACCAUAAAUCUGAAAUGUACCCUUCCCUGGCCCACAGUAGACUGGAUCUGCAGAGAAUCAGAACCAGACUAAGACGGCUUUGCAGUGUGACCUGAAUGUCAUCAGACUGAGGCUAUUUUGGACCCCGGGGAGUCGUAGGGAGUGAAUUGCUUGAGAUCUGCCCUUCGUUAAUUUACAUCAAGGCUUCAAGCAAUAGGCUUCAAGGAUGACAAAGGGGUGCGAUGGAAAAGGUUCAUCAGCAUAGACAACUUAGUCCUCACAGGUCAGCUGAGGAACGGAUAGAAUGGGGUUUCUCCAGUAUUUUCAUAAGUCCACCUCUUUCCUAAAGUGUGGUACCCAUCUGACAAAGCUGUUUCAACAAGAGGACCCCGAAGAAUGCCUGCGCGUCAUCAUAUAUAAAGAAACUCUGGACCCAUCAGCCUCCCCACGGUUGCAAGGCUGUGACUGCCACUCCUGAGAGGGGCUGUCGCUGCAGUGAACGGUCACCUGGAGAGCCGCAGCUGGUGUAGAUCAGCAUAGCUCUGUGCCUUUCAGUGAUUUACUCCAGUAAAAAGUGCCAGAAGAAACCAAAAGUUGUCAGAUCUUUUAUAGUCAGGGGAUCUAGGACUGCGGUCUUAAAGGUUGUUACAGCAAUACAAGAAGUUUUUCUAUACCAAAGAUGCAAUAUGUCAUUGGUGAUCCCGUAGGAAGCACUGCUGGGAGAGCAGGCCGGCGAAAAGGUCUAGAAGCUGAUGAGAUUUACACCAUUAAAUAAAAACAAACAAAAAGACCUCACUGGAGAAAAGAGCAGAGAAGUAGCAAAUGGCAUCAAAAUGAAACUGACCAAGUUCCAAGCUGGUGAAAGGAGGGAAUGUUUAAAGAUGCCAAGGGGCGUUGAAAAGCCCAGACUGGUCUCAGUCAACGACCUUGGGCUAGGACUGAGGCCAAUAAAGCAAUAUCCUAAGUUGAUGGUAAGCCCAUAUUUUAGCCGAGGUUCAUUCAUUUGCAAGAUAUUCAGCUGGCUCACAGCUCACCAAGCCUCAUUAGCCACAUGGUCUUUAUCAUUGCAGUGGUUUGGUACUGUACGCCCUGUAGGAUUCCACUCAAGUGCUGACAAGUUUGUUGAUAUAAAAUACAUCACCAUGGUUGUUUAAGUCCACUAUAAACAUGUCCCUAUUAAUAGCUUAUUUAGUGGAUAGAACUGCGUGAAUACUUCCUAGUAAAAAAUUAAGUUCGCAGGUCAGCCUCAUUGUCUAUUGGUGAAUUGUCUGUUUAUUAUGUUGUAUGUAUUUGUUUUUUGAAACUGUUCACCAAAUGAUUCCUGAUUUGCCCAUCAUGCACGAACAAUCUGUUGUGAGCACAGCUGGUCAAACUGUUCAGUCCUAAUACUCAUUCCAUGGCCCAUGUUAUACAGGAGGACGGACUAGAUAAUCUAAUGGUCCAUUCUGGCCUUAAACAUGUGCAGAUCUAUGAGUAUUUAUUAUGGGCAAGCUUUUCAAAAGUCACUAGUGAGCUGGGGUGUGUCGGCUAGUUUGGGUACCCAGCUUCAGACAUGCUUCAAGUGACCUAAUUUUUAGGCUUCUGAAAAGUGUGCCAAAAGGCACCCAAAAAUGUAGGUAGCCAAAAUCAUGAUUGUUUUUGAAAUAUUUUGGGCUAUGAAUUUAGCCCUCUUUUUGCAUAGCAAGAUCCUGGAUAACUGAUCCUGAUUUUAUUCAGAUGCUUUCAUUUGUAAGUAUUUGGAUGAAGAUAUAUAUAAAUGUUUACAAACUGUGAUGCCAACUAUUCAUUACUCCAGCUAGCAAAUAAUGAAUAAUGAUUGAGAUUUAGUGAGGCAGAAGCUGCAGAUGGUAGGAGCUGCAGAGGAGAAGGCUCUUGCACCAGCAAUGAGAAGAUUAUCAGAAGUGACAGAUUUGGAGCCUUAGCCCCAUCUCUAUGGGGUCAGCUCUUCGAGUCCUCCUUCUCCAUUCCAGUCGGUCUUGAAGCAGUUCCUCGGAAACUCCGCAGGUACUCAAAUCCUCUUGUAUGACAUCUGUCCAUCCAGUUUUGGGUCUUCAAAUCUUUCUCUUACCCUCCAUUUCUAAGUUUAAAACCCUAUUUCCUAUAUAUUCUUCUGAUGUUCUUUUCCCAGGCCCAAACCAUGAAAGCCAGAAUCCCCUCAUGUCUAUAAUAGGUACCACCUUCCCCUUCCCCUAAUUCAUUUAUUCCAAACUCGGUCCAUCCUUGUAACAUCCAUCUUAACCUUUUCAUUUCCACUGAAUUCAAGAUCUGCCUCCCAUCUCUUCCUCAGUGCCCAGCAUUUGGAGCCAUGCUUUGAGUGCUAAGUACUACUUGUAAUAAAAACAAGGUGAAAUAUAUGGCUUUGAGUUAGACUCCUGCAAGUGGGAAAAUUGUGAGCUAGGCUUCAGUAUUUGACGUUUGAGUUAUAAACCCCUGAAAGUAGAGGUUUAUAGCAGAGAAGAGGCUGUCAGACAGAGCUAGCCUGGCACUAACAGUAGCUCUGCAGUGUAAGAGAAAGUAGUGGAGACACACACUGAAGAUGAUCAUGGCAGGAGAAAUGAAGGUGUGUUAAGAGUUCCUGAACUAACCCCACCCACCCAGACAUUGAUCCUACUGAUGAUUAAAGGAUUUGCCUCUGAAAAAAUGGGAUGCAAAGCAAUAAAAACCAAGCAGCAGCCAUUGACAGUGAGACUUCUGCGGAAGGCAGAGGAAGGAAUUUGGCCAAAAAAGGAAGUAAAUAUCCAGUGCCGGUCACAGAAUUCACAGGCAUCUUAGACUGCCCUGGCCACCCUCAGCUUUCCAUGAUCUGCUCGUGUGUUCUUAACGGGUAGUGAAUAACUGCUUCAGAAUGAAAGAUCUGACACCUUGAGUGCAUUGGAUUCUUGUUUUCUUCAAUAUGAGAUGCCAUCACUCUGAUUCAGAGAAAAGGGUCCAAAUAUGAUUAGCUAGACAGUGCCCAGUGCCCAAUGUUCCAACGAGUCCUGCUCUGAAGAGUUUAUGAUCUAACUGUAAUAGAGCACAUGACACUUAUUGGUGAACUAAUUAUAGACCAGGGACAACACAGUUUGAAAGAUGAGUCACAUCUCUCCGUUACUGAGUUAAGUGAAGCUAAGAAUAGCCACGCAUUCACCUGAAUGGCACCAGUCAAAGAGCCCCUGUAUCAGCAGCCAUUCAGUCUACAUAGCAAAGAUGAUGAGCCUCUCGAUAUACCACAGGAGGAUCAAAAUUCAUUCCCAGUGUAAUUCCAGGAGAUCUGUCUUAUUAUUUAAUAUUUAUAUUAUUUUAGCACUCAGAGCUUUAAUUAGGAUUGGGACUCCAUUGUGCUAGGAGCUGUGCAAACACAUACAAAGAGCCAGUUUGUUCCCUGAAGAGCGGCCUAUCUAUUUAAUCAGUCUAUCUAAUGUUUUUGGCUAACCUAUCUAAUCUAUCCAUGUAGGCAGUUAUAAAGAGAACCAUACUCUGCAGGAAAGGCAGCGUGGCUUAGUGCACAAAGCACUGGAGUGGGAAUGAAGAGGCCUGGCUCUGCCACUGAUCUGCUGUAUGACCUAAAGCAAGUCACUUCCCCUCUUUGUUUCCCCACUCGCACCCUUUGCCUAUUUAGCACGUUCUGUGUAUGUACAGCACCACACACACUCAGGCCGUCGGUUGGGACCUCUAGCUGCUACUGUAAUACAAAUACUAAUAAUUAGAGCUGGGUGAAAAAAUGCCACUGAAACCUUUUUUCAUCUGAAUUUGCUGAUUUGUCAUAAUCGAAAUGUUCCAUGGAGACGGUUCCAUUUCAAUGAAGAUGUGAUGGAGCCCUGCCCGCCAGGCCCCUAAUGAAACUUGCCUGGCCUCUUGCUAGAUCAGCCACCUGGCUCCUUGGCAGCCCGCUUGGUGUGCCAUGCCUGGUAGCCAUGACUCCCAAGCUCCCAGGCUUGCGUCUCCUCAGCAGCCCGGAUGCCCAGAGCUUCAAGGGUCCGCGUCUCUGGGGCAGCCUUCCAGGUGGACGACUCUGGUGCCAAAGCUCCAUUCCCUUUCACCAAUCAUUUAAAACUUGCUGAUUUGCAUUCCAAGUCCGAACAAAACCAGAUUCUGACCUAUCGAAAAUCCUCCGUGAACCAGAACGACCUUUCUCCACCCGCUCUAGUUACUAACUCAUUGCUGGGGUACUCCAGCACCAGCUUCACCUGGGAAGAGUUUGGAUCGACACACUUAUAACUCCAAAGUCUUCAAUUUAGCAGGGAGUUGUAAUAAACCAUAGAAAUGUGUGCCUAGGUGUUUUCCCAAGAGAAAACUCCCAGCCAUGAAUUUUCAUAUUCAUUCCUUAUUAAUGAGACAGCGCAAGGCGCACUGAGUUGGAUUUCACCCCUGGUAAUUAGAGGUGACCUACCUAUUGCUGCUGGAUGAAAUAGCUCCACACGGCGGGCUAUAAAAAAUCUAAGCACCAAUUUUCCAGUUGGAAUUGGUAACCAUUAAUGCAAUCCCCAUUGGGUCUUAGCAUUUCAGCAGUGGCCUUUUGUCUGUUUAAUUUAACCUGGAUGCAAUAAGCAAAGAAGACUAAAGUAGCCGGAGACACAGAAUCAAUGAACACACCCUGCAGCUGAAGAAUGUGCAGAGACUACUAAGCGGAUCUUCAUUAGCUAGUCACACAGUAAGAGCAUUCACAUGCUUUUUCAGGAAAGUCCUUUUUUCCAUGCAUUUAUCGCUAAUCCUGAUCUGUGGAUUUGGCGCUUCUCUCCGGGAACCUCACAGCUCCCAGGUGAUCACAUUAUCCUCACCAAAAAGCUGGACACUGGGAGCAAGUCAGCAGCAACUGAAAAAGAAACUAUAUGACGCUGGUUGGAGAGGGAGAAGAUAAUUCUCAUUGGUGUCUUCUCUACUGGCAAGCAAAACAGCAUCAAUUUUCUUUGCAGCCCAAACAACGUAGCACAGCUAUAGGAUUACUCGUGAUUCUUGAUUGCCAGCAUGUAGUUUGAAUCCCAUUUGUUACUGAUCUAGCUACGUCCACAUCUUCCUGGCAAAUGGAGGGAUGUUCAAACAGAUUGUAUAGCUCCAUCAGCCAGAGGUCCAAGAUCAGAAUCAUCUCAUCUGGGUCACGCCAGCUGCUCCACCCUCUGUAUGUAUACCUAACGCAAGCACGUCUGAGUUUGGUGUCACUACACGUGUAUGUUCUUUGAAAGCCAGUGGAAAAGCUGUGAUGGAGAAGGAAAAACAUGUUAUGGCCCCAGAAAAACAGCAUGAACCCUGAUUAGCCCAUAGCGAACCACUUACAUGGGAAGCUUCCAUAAGACAGAGGAGAGCAUGCUCUGAGAGUGUUGUGUCUCUGAAACAAAAAGAGAAGGGAAGGGCUGAUGGCCAGGGCUUCCUUCCCAUGCUCUACCCCUGCCGUUUUUGCAGCGGCAGGAGGGAUGCUCAAGUCAUAUUCUCCAGCCCCACAGAUACAAGUUGCUCCAUGACAGCUACCAGUGGUGGAUGAAUCUGAUUCUAGGGGUCUUAAAAUCCCACUAACCCAUGGUGAGGGUGUAGCUUUUCUGCUGGAAUUUAGUGCUUUUCAGUGGAACUCCCCUGCAGGGCAGGUGGGAAUUGAAGGUCUCAGAACUCAGCUUUGUAAGCUCCCAAUGCCUUUAAGGCGCUCUGAUCUGUGCCCCCUCCCUGCAGAGAGGUAGGAAGGACAGCGGUGGAGCUGAAGGGGCUCAGGAUUUCUGGGAAAUUCUGGCCCAAAGCCCUACAGAACCCCAACCAGUUCUGCAGAGCUCCAGUCCCUGGACACAGCUGCCUAGGCUGCCAGUCCUUUCCGCCACACUGACUUCACUAUGACUCUGCUUUUCGAUGCUAGUCAGGCCAUUAAACCAUGGCUGCAGUGUUCCACACCUCGGGACCCCUGCCAGCUCCUAAGGGUCCUUGCCAGUGUAGGGCUCAGAGCGGGUUUGCUGCUUCCCUUAUUAUGUGCCCCUCAUUUCAUCUCUGUGUUAGCUCUGCCCUCCUGCCCAAUGGGCACCAAUAACAGACACGAGAGUGGAAAUGGGGAGAUCCCAGAUUUAGUCCCUGAAACCUUCAAGCCGAUGGAGAUGAAGGAUGUUUCAGGUGCCAUUUCACCUGGCCUAGAGGAAUAGCUAAUGUGGCCAGUCCAAGGCAGAAGGUUAAUAGCCAUACACCCCUCAUAGCUUCAUUCCCUUCCUCCCUGGCCAGGUAAAUGGUGCAGAAGGGACACAUAUACAAAACAGCAUGAAAUGGUAAAAUGGUGGCUAUUCCCACUGACUGUGGAGGAUACAUCAAUUGCUUAUUAUAGCCCAGGCCUGGAAUUCCCUACACUCCCUGGAACCAAACAGACUAGAAUCCCAGUAAGAUUGACCCUGUGGGCCCACUGGCGGAAAGGGGCAGGAGCAGGCAGGCAGGAGG